CAAGUCGAGCGGACAGAUGGGAGCUUGCUCCCUGAUGUUAGCGGCGGACGGGUGAGUAACACGUGGGUAACCUGCCUGUAAGACUGGGAUAACUCCGGGAAACCGGGGCUAAUACCGGAUGGUUGUUUGAACCGCAUGGUUCAAACAUAAAAGGUGGCUUCGGCUACCACUUACAGAUGGACCCGCGGCGCAUUAGCUAGUUGGUGAGGUAAUGGCUCACCAAGGCAACGAUGCGUAGCCGACCUGAGAGGGUGAUCGGCCACACUGGGACUGAGACACGGCCCAGACUCCUACGGGAGGCAGCAGUAGGGAAUCUUCCGCAAUGGACGAAAGUCUGACGGAGCAACGCCGCGUGAGUGAUGAAGGUUUUCGGAUCGUAAAGCUCUGUUGUUAGGGAAGAACAAGUACCGUUCGAAUAGGGCGGUACCUUGACGGUACCUAACCAGAAAGCCACGGCUAACUACGUGCCAGCAGCCGCGGUAAUACGUAGGUGGCAAGCGUUGUCCGGAAUUAUUGGGCGUAAAGGGCUCGCAGGCGGUUUCUUAAGUCUGAUGUGAAAGCCCCCGGCUCAACCGGGGAGGGUCAUUGGAAACUGGGGAACUUGAGUGCAGAAGAGGAGAGUGGAAUUCCACGUGUAGCGGUGAAAUGCGUAGAGAUGUGGAGGAACACCAGUGGCGAAGGCGACUCUCUGGUCUGUAACUGACGCUGAGGAGCGAAAGCGUGGGGAGCGAACAGGAUUAGAUACCCUGGUAGUCCACGCCGUAAACGAUGAGUGCUAAGUGUUAGGGGGUUUCCGCCCCUUAG
rnacentral:rRNA from 1 species